rnacentral:rRNA from 1 species
UACGUAGGUGGCGAGCGUUGUCCGGAUUUACUGGGCGUAAAGAGCGCGCAGGCGGUCGUUCAAGCCGCGUGUGAAAGCCCCCGGCUCAACUGGGGAGGGUCACGCGAUACUGAUCGACUCGAAGGCAGGAGAGGGAAGUGGAAUUCCCGGUGUAGUGGUGAAAUGCGUAGAUAUCGGGAGGAACACCAGUGGCGAAGGCGACUUCCUGGCCUGUUCUUGACGCUGAGGCGCGAAAGCUAGGGGAGCAAACGGG